rnacentral:lncRNA from 1 species
UUUCUGUAUAUAUAUAUAUAUAUAUAUUAAAUCAGCUAAUGAUUGUAAAUACAUAGAGUGAUAUAACAUGAUGGAUGAAAACAUGCCUUCCCAACUGCUACUCAGUCCUUCCAAAACUCCGAGUCUAAUUUGAAAGCUAAAGUUUUUGAGAAAAAAAUUGACUUUAUUAUAUACUAAAAUGUCAUGAUCAAACUUAGUUGAAUCUCAUGAGAUCAGGUCCUUCGAUUUCAAAGGUAGACUCUCAUUUUGGGACAACCAUAAAGGAAAGGAUUCCUAAAAGUGGGCAGUAGUUUUACAUAUAUUAGAAACCUGAAAUACUAGUUUUGGGAAAGAACUCCAACAGUGGGCAGUAGUUCUGCAAAAAGGAAGGUAAAGUACCCCAAAAAUGGGCAAAUAUCAGAAACCUGCCAUUGAUUUUGCACCUUUGAACAUCAAUAUGAAAAUUUUUCCUCUUAAUGAGAUGUUCUUGCAAUAACAUGAUAAUUAAAUCAGUUAAUCAUCAGAUAAUUCAAAUGUAUGUUAGUUGUGUAUAAUGUUUAUGAACUACAAGAAGACACAAAAUAAACGCGCAUAAACCCAUAAAAUUGUUGUCUUUCUUCGAACAGAAACUACAAAAUACACACGUGUAUGAAAAUAAUGAAAAAGAGAGGGAUAGCAAAUAGCUAAUAGGAGAUAUCUGGAGUAUAAUCUUACCAAGAUACGAUAAGAUCCGACCGGAAGGUCCAGUAGAAUAGAGCUCAAAUAAUGAGUCACCAGAGCUCCGGCAACUAAAAUCGGGAGCUAAUUAACUCAGCUACACAAGCUAAACUUGAACUGAAGAAAUAGGAAAGAUAAAAGGUUGAGAAACAAAGAAGUGUGGUAUACUGGUACUCAAUUGGGUCCGGGGUUUAGGCUAG